rnacentral:misc_RNA from 1 species
GUCACCAUAAGGUCUCAUCUAAGAUAAUUUUGACAGUAGUCGGUUCUUGUUUUACCGUCUUCACUACGGUAUCAGUCAUCGUCGUUCUUUUCAUGUUGAGAGAGAAGCAAGAAAUGACCACCAAAGCCUCUGUAUCAGCUGGAGAUGUAGCUGUGGAUCCUCCACUUGUAUUAGCCGGUAAUAUAUUUGUUGAAAGUAUGAAACAGGCCGUAGAUUUUGACCGUGU